rnacentral:sRNA from 1 species
GCUGGGCAUGGUGGUGCAUGGCUGUAAUCUCAGCUUCUUGGGAGGCUGAGGCAGGAGGAUAUCAAGUUUGAAGCCAGCCUCAGCAACUUAGUGAGACCCUACCUCAA